rnacentral:tRNA from 1 species
GUAGAUUUCAGGAAACGGUAAAAUACGCUAAAUUCGCCCUUUCACGGCGGCAACAGGGGUUCGACUCCCCUUGGGGACGCCA